UGCCCAAGGUCACACCGCUUUUAAAUGACAAAGCAGAACUGGAACUUGCAUCACCGGGGCUCCCCCGGCGGGCGGGAGCGGGACAACACACCCGUGCCCCCAGAGCCGGCCACUGCCCUCGGGCUUCUCCCUAAGGAGGUGGGCUGGUGCUCAACCCUGGAGCUUCGCUGUCCCUGUGUCGGCGGAAAGGACUCGGCUCCGGUGGUCCACUCAGGGGUGCGCGGGGAGCCCCUGGGAGACGGGCGGUCCUGGAGGGCAGCCGCCCCUCUGCGCCCCGGCGCCUCCGGUGCGUCUGCAGCAACAUGGGGCAUCCAUCGGGGCUGGUUCGGUUCACGGAACUCGGAGGUUUUCCCCGCCCAGAGCUGAUGCGCACAGUCGAACAAGAGCAACUCACGGAAGAGGUUGUUUUUGUAAUUCGUUGCUGAUCCCUUUUCUCCUCGUUCUGUGGGAUUUUACCCAGCUGCUAGCCCCACUGAGCACCCGGCGAUAGCUGGCAAACGUCAUCUACAGCCGGGUAAGUGGGGACGAGGCGCUGUGGGCGCGGGAAAGCCGGUGGCUCGGGGGGCGUGGCCUCCAGAACCGCACCUGACGGCGGGAGCGCACGGAGCCGACGGGCAGCUGCAGGGGGCCGUGCACACUCCCGGGGCAGCCUGCUUCCCGCCGGCUUCUGCGGUCUUGCGGGGCCACAAACCCAGAGCUACAAACGCACUGGCCGCAUUCCUGCGCGGUCAGACCGGGCCAGUCUGGACACCGGGAGCCCGGUGUCCUGAAGGCUCCCAGGAGCCAAGCCGUCACCAGCCUUGCAGUCCUGCCCCCGCCCCCACCCCACAACAAUGGACGUCUGUGCUGUCCUUCCCGGCCCUCCCCUCCCUCCUUCCUGCCAGGAGCAUCACCUCGAAGGGGGCAGGAGGGCUCCAGGUCAGAGACACGUCGAGGAGACCGCCUCUGCGUGCUGUCAGGACGGACUGGCUGUGCUGUGUAACACACACGCCCAAACCUGGAGGCUCACACAAGUCACCUGCGGUGGCCUCUGACCCCCACGGGCCUCAUUCCUGGCGCCUGGUCUCAGGCAGGCCGCAGGUCCAGUCGGGAAGAAAGAACGCGGAGAAUCAGGAACCAGCUUUUCAGUGUUCGCCCUUGGGUGACACAUGGCCCUUCUGAUGAAGGUCACGGCAAGAAAUGUGCACGGCACUGAGGACCCCAGAGUACCACCCGGUGCUCAGUGAGACGCAGGUCAGGGUCCAUCCCUGAUCCUAACCACAGACUCAGCUUUUGCCAAGUCCUCCUGGUCCUGCGGGUGUUGGUCCCGUCAGGAACGAGUUUGGACAGCAAGAAAGAGGCCGGCCUUCUUUUUUUCUGUGAGCUCGGUGACUCUUGUCCCGUGCAGGAUCUGUUCACACCACACUCGUCCCUCUGGCCCAUCACCUGCACCCAGCCUGGGCUGGUCCAGGCUCAGCUUCCGUGUCUCUGGAGCCUGGCCCAGGAUGAGGGAGCCAAGCCUCUUUCACCAUCCGUCCAUCCAAGUGGCAGUGGCCUCCUAAGUGUAAGCCAGUGACAUCCAGCUGCAUCUGGAAACUCAGCCCCGGGACAAAGUCCAGAUCCCCUCAGAGGACCCAGCAGAGGACCCGCCAGCCGGCAGGGCUCCCCGUUUCUCCUGGACACCCUUCCCUCCGCCGCCGACCCUGCCUCCCUACAUCUCUCUCCACCGAGUCAGUGCUUUCCUAUUUCCACCACGGUUGAGUGAAUACGGUCCCCACGGCCACAUGUGGAGAUGAUGCGGCAGGGAGCGUCUGUGGAGGACGUUGGAGGCGGUGCUACAAAACCUGCAGCCUUCAAGUCUUUCCACCGCCCUCUGGCGCCCUCUGGUGACAGACUGCAGACGCCCGCUUGAGGCCAAACCCCUUUCCUGUUUUGGAGUGAAGACAGACCUGGCCCAGCAGGAACUGACGUCCUGAGAGGAGGGGCGGGGAGGGGGCACCGUCACUCAGGCCGGGACCGGGGCCAGGGCAAUCGCUGAGUGCAUGUGCUGGGGGCCAAGUGGAGCUGAGCCCCUGUGGGGGCAGCGACACUGGCUGGCCCUACUGGGUGGGGCUUCCCCUCCUUUGGAUGCUCCCCUUUCCUUUGCUGGCGUUCAAAUAUGGCUGCCUGCCCCCCACCCCUCAGCAGCCGGCUCGCUCCCCCAGAAGAGACUGCGUCCACCUCUGCACCUCCUUCCAGCCUCAGCGAUAUAACAGCCAGAGGGACUGACUCAGAAGUCCAUGGAGCAGUCCAGGCCACUGGCUUCAGAGAAUCCAGAUAAGCUUAGAACCUGUCAGCACACUUGAAAAUCACUUAGAAGACUGAGGCAUGAGGAAAUAGACGCUCUGAAUACUAGUUACUAGUAAGGAGAUUGGCUCAGGGAUCAAAAACCUCCAGCAGACAAAAGUCCAGAACCAGAUGGCCUCACCGGGGAAUUCCACCGAACAUCAAAGGAGGGAUUAACACCAAUCUUUCCCAAAAUCUUCCAAAAAAUAGAAGAAAGGGUGGGGGGAACACUUAAAAAUCCAUUCUGAGUCCAGCAUUACCCUCAUACCAAAGCCAGACAAGGACGCGAGAAGAAAAGAAUCCCACAGGCCAGGGUUUCUGAACAUAGAUUUUAAAAAAUCCUCAAAUUGUCAGCAAACAAACUUGAGCAACACUUUCAAAGGAUCACACACACCAUGAUCAAGCGGGAUUUAUCCCUGGAAUGCACGGAUAGUUCAACAUCUGCAAAUCAACAUGGUACAUUAAAUGAAGGUUAAAAAUCACAUCAUCAUCUCGAUACGUGUUGCAGAAAAAGCAUUUGAUGAAACUCAACACCCGUGCAUGAUAAAAAGUUUCAACAAAGUGAGAAUAGAGGGAACACACAGCAUAAUAAAGGCCAUGUAUGAGAAGGCCACAGCUAAUGUCACACUCAGCUGUGAAAAGCUGAGAGCUCUUCCUCGAAGAUCAGGAAUAAGACAGGGAUAUCUGGUCUCAACACUCCUGUUCAAUGCACUACUGGAAGUCCUAACCACAGUAAUCAGGCCAUAUGAAACACACAAGGCAUCCAAAUUGGAAAGGAAGAAGUAAAACUGUCACUGUUUGCAGAUGACAUGAUACUUAUAUAGGAUACCCUGAAGACACCCACCCCAAAACCGUUAGACCCAAUCAACAAAUUCAGUGGUGUUGCAGGUUACAAAAUCAAUACACACAAAUCUGUUGUUUCCAUAUACUGAUAUGAUAAACAAUCGGAAGAAAAAUUAACUGUCAUUUACAAUUGCAUGAAAAACAAUAAGAUACUCAGGAAUAAAUUUAACCAAGGAGGUGAGAUAUCUGUACGUGAAAAGCGAUAAGACAUUGAUAAAAAAAAAAAAAAAAAAUGAAGACACAAAUGGAAAGCUAUACCACAUUUAUGCAUUGAAAGAAUUAAUAUUGUUAAAAUGUCCACAUUAUCUAAAGCAGUCUACAGAUUU